rnacentral:rRNA from 1 species
UACGGAAGGGGCAAGCGUUGUUCGGAAUCAUUGGGCGUAAAGGGCGCGUAGGUGGUUCUGUAUGUCUAUCGUGAAAGCAUACAGCUCAACUGUAUUUUGUCGGUAGAAACUACAGGACUUGAGGCUGGGAGGGGCUGGUGGAAUUCCCUGUGUAGCGGUGAAAUGCGUAGAGAUGGGGGAGAACACUCGUGGCGAAGGCGGCCAGCUAGACCAGUUCUGACACUGAGGCGCGACAGCGUGGGGAGCAAACAGG